AACGAACGCUGGCGGCGUGCCUAACACAUGCAAGUCGUGCGAGAAAGUUCCUUCGGGAGCGAGUAAAGCGGCGCACGGGUGAGUAACACGUAGGUAACCUGUUCCCCAGUCUGGAACAACUAGAGGAAACUCUAGCUAAUGCCGGAUGAGACCACGAUCCCUUCGGGGGUUGCGGCCAAAGAUGGCCUCUACUUGUAAGCUAUCGCUGAGGGAUGGGCCUGCGGGCCAUUAGCUUGUUGGUGAGGUAACGGCUCACCAAGGCUGUGAUGGCUAGCUGGUCUGAGAGGAUGACCAGCCACACUGGGACUGAGACACGGCCCAGACUCCUACGGGAGGCAGCAGUGGGGAAUAUUGCGCAAUGGGCGAAAGCCUGACGCAGCGACGCCGCGUGGGUGAUGAAGGCCUCGGUCGUAAAGACC
rnacentral:rRNA from 1 species